rnacentral:rRNA from 1 species
AGAGUUUGAUCCUGGCUCAGAAUGAACGUUGGCGGCACGCCUAACACAUGCAAGUCGAGCGAAGAACUAGUUUACUAGUUACUGAGCGGCGAACGGGUGAGUAAUACUUGGAUAAUCUGCCACUAGGAUUGGGAUAACCUCAGGAAACUGAGACUAAUACCAAAUAUGACCACAGUCUUUACGAAGACAGUGGUAAAAUGUUUUUUCGCCUAGUGAUGAGUCCAAGUCGCAUCAGGUUGUUGGUAAGGUAAUGGCUUACCAAGCCUAUGACGCGUAGCAGGUCUUAGCGGAUGAUCUGCCACAUGGGGACUGAGAUACGGCCCUGACUCCUACGGGAGGCAGCAGUGAGGAAUAUUGGACAAUGGACGAAAGUCUGAUCCAGCGAUGCCGCGUGAAGGAUGAAGGCCUUAGGGUUGUAAACUUCUGUCAGCAGGGAAGAUAAUGACGGUACCUGCAGAGGAAGCCCCGGCUAACUCCGUGCCAGCAGCCGCGGUAAUACGGAGGGGGCAAACGUUAUUCGGAUUUACUGGGCGUAAAGGGUUCGUAGGCGGUUUUUUAAGUUAGAUGUGAAAGCUUGAAGCUUAACUUCAAAAUAGCAUCUAAAACUGAAUUACUAGAUUCUUGGAGAGGUAGAUGGAAUUACCGGUGUAGCGGUGAAAUGCGUAGAUAUCGGUAGGAACACCAGUGGCGAAAGCGAUCUACUGGACAAGUAAUGACGCUGAGGUAGCGAAAGCGUGGGUAGCAAACAGGAUUAGAUACCCUGGUAGUCCACGCCCUAAACGAUGAAUACUAGAUGUUGGAUUUAUUCAGUAUCGUAGCUAACGUAUUAAGUAUUCCGCCUGGGGAGUACGGUCGCAAGGCUGAAACUCAAAGGAAUUGGCGGGGACUCGCACAAGCGGUGGAGCAUGUGGUUUAAUUCGAUGCUAAGCGAAGAACCUUACCAGGGCUUGACAUGUAAGCAUAAGCUUGCGUGAAAGCGUGGAGUG